UAGGGAAUAUUGCACAAUGGGGAAAGCCCUGAUGCAGCGACGCCGCGUGAAGGAAGAAGUAUCUCGGUAUGUAAACUUCUAUCAGCAGGGAAGACAAUGACGGUACCUGACUAAGAAGCCCCGGCUAACUACGUGCCAGCAGCCGCGGUAAUACGUAGGGGGCAAGCGUUAUCCGGAUUUACUGGGUGUAAAGGGAGCGUAGACGGCAUGGCAAGUCUGAAGUGAAAGCCCGGGGCUCAACCCCGGGCACUGCUUUGGAAAUCUGUCAGGCUAGAGUGCUGGAGAGGUAAGUGGAAUUCCUAGUGUAGCGGUGAAAUGCGUAGAUAUUAGGAGGAACACCAGUGGCGAAGGCGGCUUACUGGACAGUGACUGACGUUGAGGCUCGAAAGCGUGGGGAGCAAACAGGAUUAGAUACCC
rnacentral:rRNA from 1 species